AACGCACCUUGCGCACCUUGGUAUUCCGAGGAGCAUGCCUGUUUGAGUGUCAUGAAAUUCUCAACCUUAAGUGCUUUUUCUACAAAAGAGUUCAUAAGGCUUGGAUUUGUGGGAGCUGCCGGCUUUUUUAAAGUUGGCUCUUCUUAAAUACAUUAGCAAGAUCGUCACUGGUCAUCUUUGAUAUGAUAAUUAUCUAUGUCAUUGGUGAACAAGCUUCCUCAAUAAGGGAGAAGAAGGGUCUAGCUUCUAACGGUCUCCUUUGGCGAGACAGUAUUCCUGACCAUUUGACCUCAAAUCAGGUAGGACUACCCGCUGAACUUAA
rnacentral:misc_RNA from 1 species